GGGGGGGGCAAGCGUUGUUCGGAAUUACUGGGCGUAAAGGGCUCGUAGGCGGCCCUCUCAGUCGGAUGUGAAAUCCCCAGGCUUAACCUGGGAAUGGCAUCCGAUACUGGAGGGCUUGAAUUCGGGAGAGGGAUGCAGAAUUCCAGGUGUAGCGGUGAAAUGCGUAGAUAUCUGGAGGAAUACCGGUGGCGAAGGCGGCAUCCUGGACCGAGAUUGACGCUGAGGAGCGAAAGCUAGGGGAGCAAACGGGAUUAGAUACCCUGGUAGUCCACGCCGUAAACGAUGAAUGCCAGCCGUUAGUGGGUUUACUCACUAGUGGCGCAGCUAACGCUUUAAGCAUUCCGCCUGGGGAGUACGGUCGCAAGAUUA
rnacentral:rRNA from 1 species